rnacentral:rRNA from 1 species
UACGGGGGGAGCAAGCGUUGUUCGGAUUUACUGGGCGUAAAGGGCGCGUAGGCGGUCAGCACAAGUCAGUUGUGAAGUCUCCGGGCUUAACUCGGAAAGGUCAACUGAUACUGUGCGACUAGAGUGCGGAAGGGGCAACUGGAAUUCUCGGUGUAGCGGUGAAAUGCGUAGAUAUCGAGAGGAACACCUGCGGCGAAGGCGGGUUGCUGGGCCGACGCUGACGCUGAUGCGCGAAAGCCAGGGGAGCGAACGGG